rnacentral:rRNA from 1 species
GAUGAACGCUGGCGGCGUGCCUAAUACAUGCAAGUCGAGCGAACGGACGAGAAGCUUGCUUCUCUGAUGUUAGCGGCGGACGGGUGAGUAACACGUGGAUAACCUACCUAUAAGACUGGGAUAACUUCGGGAAACCGUAGCUAAUACCGGAUAAUAUUUUAAACCGCAUGGUUCAAAAGUGAAAGACGGUCUUGCUGUCACUUAUAGAUGGAUCCGCGCUGCAUUAGCUAGUUGGUAAGGUAACGGCUUACCAAGGCAACGAUGCAUAGCCGACCUGAGAGGGUGAUCGGCCACACUGGAACUGAGACACGGUCCAGACUCCUACGGGAGGCAGCAGUAGGGAAUCUUCCACAAUGGGCGAAAGCCUGACCGAGCAACGCCGCGUGAGUGAUGAAGGUCUUCGGAUCGUAAAACUCUGUUAUUAGGGAAGAACAUAUGUGUAAGUAACUGUGCACAUCUUGACGGUACCUAAUCAGAAAGCCACGGCUAACUACGUG